rnacentral:rRNA from 1 species
GUCGAACGAUGAACCUCCUUCGGGAGGGGAUUAGUGGCGAACGGGUGAGUAACACGUGGGCAAUCUGCCCUGCACUCUGGGACAAGCCCUGGAAACGGGGUCUAAUACCGGAUACUGAUCAUCUUGGGCAUCCUUGGUGAUCGAAAGCUCCGGCGGUGCAGGAUGAGCCCGCGGCCUAUCAGCUUGUUGGUGAGGUAAUGGCUCACCAAGGCGACGACGGGUAGCCGGCCUGAGAGGGCGACCGGCCACACUGGGACUGAGACACGGCCCAGACUCCUACGGGAGGCAGCAGUGGGGAAUAUUGCACAAUGGGCGAAAGCCUGAUGCAGCGACGCCGCGUGAGGGAUGACGGCCUUCGGGUUGUAAACCUCUUUCAGCAGGGAAGAAGCGAAAGUGACGGUACCUGCAGAAGAAGCGCCGGCUAACUACGUGCCAGCAGCCGCGGUAAUACGUAGGGCGCGAGCGUUGUCCGGAAUUAUUGGGCGUAAAGAGCUCGUAGGCGGCUUGUCGCGUCGGUUGUGAAAGCCCGGGGCUUAACCCCGGGUCUGCAGUCGAUACGGGCAGGCUAGAGUUCGGUAGGGGAGAUCGGAAUUCCUGGUGUAGCGGUGAAAUGCGCAGAUAUCAGGAGGAACACCGGUGGCGAAGGCGGAUCUCUGGGCCGAUACUGACGCUGAGGAGCGAAAGCGUGGGGAGCGAACAGGAUUAGAUACCCUGGUAGUCCACGCCGUAAACGGUGGGCACUAGGUGUGGGCGACAUUCCACGUCGUCCGUGCCGCAGCUAACGCAUUAAGUG